rnacentral:lncRNA from 1 species
GGCAAAAAUCCUUAAAAUCAAUAUGCUAACUAACCCGGAUAGUAAUGUUAGCUAACGUUAGAUAUCUACUUUACGUUUCUGCUUACUUGUUCACUCUUUUUUCCGAAAUGGUGUUUUGCAUGAGUGGGCGGCUUCCUAGCCUAGUACUGCCAGCAGGCUACUUAGCUACCUGCAACAAAGCUAGCUAACGCUGCUAGCUACCGUCAAAUACUAGCUAGCAAGCUAGCUGUAAAGCUGAUUCGCUUAUUAGUUACCUUUAGCCGUUAGUGCGCUGGUUAGCUGACACCAGCAACAACGGGAAGUACGAACAAUUCUGUAAGUCAGACGCCCGCCGUUUUGUUGACCGAAAACUGAAACUAACGUUUCCAGAAGGACAGACAAAUUAUGAGCAGUGUCAGUGACAGCUUAUUCUACAACGCUGACAGGUCAACAACCUAGGAACUACAAAACGACAUACGAGGAAGACAAUAUGAGUCGGAGACUUCCGGUUUCGAAACUGCGUCUCAAUUCAGGAGCUGCAGCCUUCGGAGGCUGCAUUUGUAGACCGAUUACGUCACAGCGGCCGCGACAGGGGUGUCCCUUUUCGGCGACUCCUUCAAAUGCAGCCGACAAAAUGCAACCUUCUUCUGCCGAAUUUGGAGGAUACAUCUGAUGUAUCCUUCACCGCCGCAGGUAUCCCAAGAUUCAUUGCGCGCCCAGAGAAGUUUUUAUUCCGACAAGAAAUGGCGCCCCUCGACCCAGCAGUAACGGCAAAUGGAUAUACUUUUAAAUGGAGAAGGAGAGGAGAGCAGGGGGAGGAUGGACAGACUCUUCUCUCUGCUGGAGAAACUUGUUGACAAAUGAAACUUGUUGGUAAAUUAAUUGAAAUAAAUAAUAUAUAUAAUGAUGAAUAUAUUGUGUAUUUAAUUUACAUGAACUAUAAAUGAAAGUAAUGAUGACGUAAUGGUGACGUACCAGGAAGUCCCCCGUAGACCGGUCCGUCUCAUUUCGUAGACCGUUCGGUUCAGCCUUCGCGGUCUACGGAGGACCCGGCCUCUAAAGACCGCGAAGGCUGCUUCCUCCGAAGGCUGCAGUCCCUGAAUUGAGACACAGCAGGCAAAAUGACCAUAUAGUACCCGUCCCGUAUUGAUAAAUAAAAUGCACUUGAUGAAAACGAGAAGCGAAUGUCCUGUAUUUUCAUGCACAUCCUAUUCUAAUGCAUACACUACACCAGGGGUUUCAAAGUCUGAGACUGUCAGUAUUUCUACAUGCAGUCUCAAUUCCUGGAUUCCUUAUGGAAUCAUGAUUUUGUUUUUUUGAUCCCA